AACGAACGCUGGCGGCAGGCUUAACACAUGCAAGUCGAACGCCCCGCAAGGGGAGUGGCAGACGGGUGAGUAACGCGUGGGAAUCUACCCAUCCCUACGGAAUAACUCAGGGAAACUUGAGCUAAUACCGUAUACGUCCUUCGGGAGAAAGAUUUAUCGGGGAUGGAUGAGCCCGCGUUGGAUUAGCUAGUUGGUGGGGUAAAGGCCUACCAAGGCGACGAUCCAUAGCUGGUCUGAGAGGAUGAUCAGCCACACUGGGACUGAGACACGGCCCAGACUCCUACGGGAGGCAGCAGUGGGGAAUAUUGGACAAUGGGCGCAAGCCUGAUCCAGCCAUGCCGCGUGAGUGAUGAAGGCCUUAGGGUUGUAAAGCUCUUUCGCCGGUGAAGAUAAUGACGGUAACCGGAGAAGAAGCCCCGGCUAACUUCGUGCCAGCAGCCGCGGUAAUAC
rnacentral:rRNA from 1 species